GACAUGAAGAGGAAGAAAAGGUGACUUAAGAGCAGUGGGCAUGGGAACAUGAUGGAAGGCUAAAGCCCUUGUUCCCCGUCUAACACUAGAGGAGGCUUUGGUUUGAGUUUUUCUGAUGCCUUCCAUGCCUAUUGUUCUUUGGUGCCCCUUCCUCUUCCUUUUGGAU
rnacentral:pre_miRNA from 2 species